rnacentral:rRNA from 1 species
GUGGGGAAUCUUAGACAAUGGGCGCAAGCCUGAUCUAGCCAUGCCGCGUGAGCGAUGAAGGCCUUAGGGUUGUAAAGCUCUUUCAGGGGGGAAGAUAAUGACGGUACCCCCAGAAGAAGCCCCGGCUAACUCCGUGCCAGCAGCCGCGGUAAUACGGAGGGGGCUAGCGUUGUUCGGAAUUACUGGGCGUAAAGCGCACGUAGGCGGACCAGAAAGUCAGGGGUGAAAUCCCGGGGCGCAACCCCGGAACUGCCUUUGAAACUCCUGGUCUUGAGGUCGAGAGAGGUGAGUGGAAGUCCGAGUGUAGAGGUGAAAUUCGUAGAUAUUCGGAGGAACACCAGUGGCGAAGGCGGCUCACUGGCUCGAUACUGACGCUGAGGUGCGAAAGCGUGGGGAGCAAACAGGAUUAGAAACCCGAGUAGUCC